rnacentral:lncRNA from 1 species
AUGUAAACAGAGUCCUUAUAGAGGGAUCUCCUAAAUAAGUAUCUCAAAGAAUAGCUUUACCUUUUCCAUAUUUACUGCAGGUCUCCAACAUACUUUUUUGUUGUUGUUGUUUUGUUUUGUUUUGUUUUUCGUUGCCCAGGCUGGAGUGCAAUGGCGUGAUCUCUCCGCUCACUGCAACCGCCGCCUCCGGCUCCCAGGUUCAAUCAAUUCUCCUGCCUCAGCCUCCAUAGUAGCUGGGAUUACGGCGCCUGCCGCCACGCACGGCUGAUUUUUUGUAUUUUUAGUAGAGACGGGGUUUCACCAUGUUGGUCAAGCUGGCCUCAAACUCCUGAACUCAGGUGAUCCACACACCUCGGCGACCCAAGCUGCUGGGAUUACAGGCGUGAGCCACCGCGUCCUGCCCAACAUACAUUUUUUUUUUUACUUCACAGGAAUCCCAGAUACAGGCCAUAGGUUUUUCUUUUUGUUCCCCUCUAGCUAGUUUUAAAUUCCAAGUGACAUCUUUCCCUGUGGGAAAUCAGCAAAGAUAGAGCUAUAGCUAGAGAUUAAAGCGGGAGGAGCAGGCUUGGAGAGAAAAUGAAAGGAAGAGAUAAGAUUAAAAAUCAACAUUCUAUGCAAAAAGAGCCCAGAGCAAAGGGCCUAAGUGGCCACUUCCCCCAUCUCUGUCGUAACACCAGGCCGAUUCCUGCAUCCUGGCUGCCAAGUUCUUUAUGGAGAACUCAGUUCUCCCUUGAGAGAGACCUGCGCUGGCACUAUGGAAUAAGCAUGCUACAUUAACUUUCUAAAGGCCACUGGGGAACAAUUUACUGAACUGCAAACUUAAAGGUAAUGUAGUGCUAAGUGGUAUAUCCUUCUAUCCUUCAAAGACUUUAUUGGGCUCCUGUUUCUGGUGAUUAGGGUUGAGGUACCUCAUAUGUUUGUUUCACUCAAGUCUGGCUUUUGUUACAUGCAAAAUGAGAAGGCAGA